rnacentral:rRNA from 1 species
GAGUAACGCGUGAGUAACCUGCCUUCAAGAGGGGGAUAGCUUCUGGAAACGGAUGGUAAUACCCCAUAAAAUAUAAAUAUCGCAUGAUAGAUAUAUCAAAGAAAUUCGCUCAGAGAUGGGCUCGCGUCUGAUUAGAUAGUUGGUGAGGUAACGGCUCACCAAGUCGACGAUCAGUAGCCGGACUGAGAGGUUGAACGGCCACAUUGGGACUGAGACACGGCCCAGACUCCUACGGGAGGCAGCAUG